rnacentral:rRNA from 1 species
AUUGAACGCUGGCGGCGUGCCUAAUACAUGCAAGUCGAACGGAAAGGCCUCUUCGGAGGUACUCGAGUGGCGGACGGCUGAGUAACGCGUAGGAAUGUACCCCAAAGUGAGGAAUAACUGCCCGAAAGGGUAGCUAAUACCGCAUGUGCUCUAAGGAGUAAAGCUUCGGCGCUUUGGGAACAGCCUGCGUAAGAUUAGCUUGUUGGUGAGGUAAUGGCUCACCAAGGCGACGAUCUUUAGCUGGUCUGAGAGGAUGAUCAGCCAGACUGGGACUGAGACACGGCCCGGACUGCUACGGGAGGCAGCAGUAGGGAAGUUUCCACAAUGGACGAAAGUCUGAUGGAGCAACGCCGCGUGCAGGAUGAAGGCCCUUGGGUUGUAAACUGCUUUUAUAUGUGAAGAAAAUGACGGUAGCUUAUGAAUAAGGAUCGGCUAACUCCGUGCCAGCCGCCGCGGUAA